CUUGUCCUCGGCCUUAGAUUCACCAAACCGAGAAGAUAAUUCUCAUUUCUUUUCUUUUCCUUCUCUCUUCUUCUUUCUCUUCUCUGCUCUGUUCUUCACCUCUGGUGAUUUCAUGUGAGAGUUCUGAGGUUAUGUGACUGUGUUAUUGAAGAUAAACUUAGGGGUAAACUGUAAGAGUUAUCUGGUGGUGGUGGUGUUAUUAACUGAGCUCGGGAGAAGAAGAAAACUGAUGAUGCUGUAAAUCAAAGAUUAGGGUUUUGAGAUUAAUUUGAGGUCAGAGGCAAAUUUAUGGGUUAAUCGGGAUGUUUGUGGAUGAGGAUUAAGAGGGUCGAUGUUAAUUGCAGUUAUAGAGUUGUUCUGACAAUUCAAUUGAAGAACUAGGGUUCUCCCAUGAUUGAAUCAAUUGUAGUUUUAGAAGAGGGGUUUGAUUUGGAAGAUACAAAUUGAGUUAGAUAUGGGUUUUUUGUUAAUUUAUCAGUGGUAGCCGUUGUUGAUGAAGAAUCGCAGAAUUAGGGUUUGAGAUUCGAUUAAAGAUGAAAUGGAGAGUUUAGAAGACAGAUUGGUGAUGGGUACGGAUAAUAUGAGGUGUUGGAGUUAUGAUAUGAACUCUGAUUAGGAAAAGAGGAUUAAGAACUAAUUUAGAGUUCGUGGGUUAAACUGCAGUUGGAGAAGAAGAGUUUGAAGUCAACUGUUGGAGGUAAUCUCUUCAAACUGAAUUAAAUUGGAUUAAAUUUCAUUCACUUUAGAUUAUCGUAUUUGUAUAAUUGUUGUUGUUUGAAUUGAAGAUGAGUUAUUGUUGGCUGUUUUGAGUAAAUGUUGUAUGAAUGGAAAUUAUAGGUAGUGGUGUUAAUAUUGUUUUUGUGGGGUUGUGGAUUGCUGGAAAGGGGUUGGAGGUUUGUUAAUAGAGGAUUGGUGGUGAACUGUAGUGGCUGGUGGAGUUGCAGAUGGUUUUAAUGUUGAAUUGAAUGGGUUUAGGUGCAGAUGAAUGCAUAGUUUAUUACACGGAGAAUGAAGGUUACAUGAUUAGUAAAUUGAUGUAGUAAACUGACAGUGUAGUUGAAUUUAGAUGAAGUUAGGCUCAGAAUGAAGCUGAAGCGAUUUUGGUUGAGGAUGGCUGUAAUUGGUAGUUCUAGAACUGCAGUUGCAGUUAUGGUAGUAUUGUUUGUGUGUUUGAGAGUUGCAGGAAAGGAAAGUGUACCUGAAAUGAUGUUAUUGGUCCGAGUUGUUGAAUUGUUGUGAGCUGCAGGUAUUGGUGUUGUUGUAUGAGUUGUAUGGAUGUGGAUGAGACUGAGGUUGAGAUGGACAGGGUAAACAUGUGAUACAAGUGUGGUUAUUUUGAAGAUGAAUGUUGUAUCAAUGUUGUGAGAAUUGUACAGGGUUGGAGUUGAGGUUUAGAUGAGUUGGUUGUUUGUACCAGGGUUACAGUGUAGAUGCAGAUAGUGUUAAUGCUAUUGGGUUAUGACCGUCGGUUGAAUUGGAAUUAAACUGCAGUUGAGGGUUAUAUGUAUGAUAUGUAGAAGUUAGAUGUUCAGUGUUGAGUUGAAUGUAAGAUAGGAACUUUCCAUGGAGGAAAGGUGUUGCUUAGAGCUUCAUUAUCGCAGUUAGUUAUUAACAAAGAUCGAUUCAAAGGAUGAACCAGUGGAUCGUGGAUCUCGAGGUAGGCGUGGCCUGUCAUCAAAAGAGCUUCAGAGACAGAUUAGAGUUGCGCAGCGAAAGCUUCGAGGAGUUUAUUACGUUAUUUAAAUUGCUUACGCUAUGUUUAUUUUGUGUUUAUAUUUUAUUUGUAAAACAACUCACUAUUGGAUAUGUAUCAUUUGAGAGGAGUUCUUGUAUAUCUGUUUCAGACCGGGGCUAGUUUUGGGUUAAGU